rnacentral:lncRNA from 1 species
AUGUGUUUUAAGUUUCUCUUUUGUCUUAUUCUGGUGGUUAGAGGGUUGGACCUAGAGAAACGUGACCUGAGAAGAGAUAAGGGGUGGCCACGUGAGCCAGGGGCCAGAGCACAGGAGGCACUGAAGUCCAGAGGGCGUCACACCCUGUGGGGCAGGGAGCAGGACCCAGAGGACCGGGAGCCCCUCACAGCAGACAGGGCCCAGAAUAUUACUAUGCAGCCCUUCAUGGAAGAAGGUUUUGACCUCUUACUUAAGGCAACUUAAAAAUAACCUGCGAUUUGGAAGAGACCACCGUGUUUAGACCAACUCUACAACAGCGGUUCUCAAAAUUUGGUCUUAAGGAGCC